GGUAGGCUUGGUCCCAUGCUCUUGGUCCUUAAAGGCUUCCACUGUUUUCAGCAGCCUUUGCUUGCUCUUUGUAUCACCAGUAAUGCCCAUCAACUGGCAAAUUGUCUCUGUGGGGCUGAAGGUACUUCUAGAGGAAUAAAAGGGAAACAAGUAUUUGCUGGAAUCUAAAAUACCUUCCAGAACUUCCCAGGCAGCUUCUGCUCUUAAAUACCUCAAUCACUGUCUUAAAAUCUAUUCAUUGCCCUUUUUUUUAAUGUUCUCUUUCCCUCAGGACUCUAUUAAGUGGCUUCCCAAGUCUCCUAAGCUGUACAGUGGCCAUAACUGGAGCUCCCAGGGCUCUCGCUGGGCCUCGUUGAAAGGAAAGGAAGGUUUUCAUGGUGGUAACCUGUACAAAUUCAGCUCUGCUAAUGGGAAAUGGAAAGAAGGAAGGAUCAGUCCUGAGCAAGAAGCAGAGGAGCUCGAGGAUCCUGAUGAUGAACCUAUUUCCAAGUUUUCCGGCAGCCUUUUUGGUAGCAACGAUAACGUGAGAGAUCAGAGAAGUACCAGAGCAGCGUUUCAAGACAAGCAGAAGCUGGCAGUGCAGGGGAAGGCUGUGCCAGGAUGUCACCCCAAGGGGCAGCUGGCAGCAGGCAGCUGCCCCAGCGAGAGCGGCCGGGGGGGGGGGGGGGGGGGGGGGGGGGGGGGGGGGGGGGGGGGGGGGGGGGGGGGGGGGGGGGGGGGGGGGGGGGGGGGGGGGGGGGG
rnacentral:lncRNA from 12 species